CAAUAGCGUAUAUUAAAGCUGUUGCGGUUAAAAAGCUCGUAGUUGGAUUUCUGUCAAGGACAACUGGUCCGCCCUCCGGGUGAGCACAUAGUUUGGUCUUGACAUCUUGCUGGAAGCUGUUGCUGCACUUGGCUGUGUGGCGCAGUGUUCAGCACUUUCACUUUGAGGAAAUUGGAGUGUUUCAAGCAGGCACAUGCCUUUGGACACAGUAGCAUGGAAUAAUUAGAUUUGGCUUUUGCUCCAAUUUGUCGGUUUCUGGAGCUGAGGUGAGUAUUAAUGGGGAUUGUUGGGGGCAUCCGAAUUUAGCCGUCAGAGGUGAAAUUCUUGGAUCUGCUAAAGACGGACAACUGCGAAAGCGUUUGCCCAGGAUGUUUUCAUUGA
rnacentral:rRNA from 1 species